rnacentral:rRNA from 1 species
GUGUCAGCAGCCGCGGUAAAACGUAGGAGACAAACGUUAUCCGGAGUUACUGGGCGUAAAGGGCGUGCAGGCGGUCUGUUAAGUUCGGCGUGAAAGCUCCCGGCUAAACCGGGAUAGGUCGUCGGAUACUGGCAGACUAGAGGACAGUAGAGGCGGGUGGAAUUCCGGGUGUAGUGGUGAAAUGCGUAGAGAUCCGGAGGAACACCAGUGGCGAAGGCGACCCGCUGGGCUGUACCUGACGCUAAAACGCGACAGCAUGGGGAGCGAACGGGAUUAGAUACCCUCGUAGUCC